rnacentral:tRNA from 1 species
GAGCCCGUGGCUUAGCCUGGCUAGAGCGCUCGACUGAUAAUCGAGUGGUCCCGCGUUCGAAUCGCGGCGGGCUCA